rnacentral:rRNA from 1 species
GAUGAACGCUAGCGGCAGGCCUAAUACAUGCAAGUCGGACGGGAUUGGAGAGCUUGCUUUCCAUGAGAGUGGCGCACGGGUGCGUAACUCGUAUGUAACCUACCUUCACCAGGGGGAUAGCCUCUCGAAAGAGAGAUUAAGACCGCAUAACAUUAUUGGAUAGCAUUAUUUAAUAAUCAAAUAUUUAUAGGGUGAGAUGGGC